AAAGAAAUCAACCGAGAUUCCCUUAGUAGUGGCGAGCGAACGGGGACCAGCCCUUAAGUUGAUUUGAGAUUAGUGGAACGCUCUGGAAAGUGCGGCCAUAGUGGGUGAUAGCCCCGUACACGAAAAUCUCUUGUCAAUGAAAUCGAGUAGGACGGAGCACGAGAAACUUUGUCUGAAUAUGGGGGGACCAUCCUCCAAGGCUAAAUACUACUGACUGACCGAUAGUGAACCAGUACCGUGAGGGAAAGGCGAAAAGAACCCCGGAGAGGGGAGUGAAAUAGAACCUGAAACCGUAUGCGUACAAGCAGUGGGAGCCUACUUUGUUAGGUGACUGCGUACCUUUUGUAUAAUGGGUCAGCGACUUAUAUUCAGUGGCGAGCUUAACCGAAUAGGGGAGGCGUAGCGAAAGCGAGUCUUAAUAGGGCGUUUAGUCGCUGGGUAUAGACCCGAAACCGGGCGAUCUAUCCAUGGGCAGGUUGAAGGUUAGGUAACACUGACUGGAGGACCGAACCGACUACCGUUGAAAAGUUAGCGGAUGACCUGUGGAUCGGAGUGAAAGGCUAAUCAAGCUCGGAGAUAGCUGGUUCUCCUCGAAAGCUAUUUAGGUAGCGCCUCAUGUAUCACUCCAGGGGGUAGAGCACUGUUUCGGCUAGGGGGUCAUCCCGACUUACCAAACCGAUGCAAACUCCGAAUACCUGGAAGUGCCGAGCAUGGGAGACACACGGCGGGUGCUAACGUCCGUCGUGAAAAGGGAAACAACCCAGACCGUCAGCUAAGGUCCCAAAGUCAUGGUUAAGUGGGAAACGAUGUGGGAAGGCUUAGACAGCUAGGAGGUUGGCUUAGAAGCAGCCACCCUUUAAAGAAAGCGUAAUAGCUCACUAGUCGAGUCGGCCUGCGCGGAAGAUGUAACGGGGCUCAAACCAUGCACCGAAGCUACGGGUGUCAUCUUUGAUGACGCGGUAGAGGAGCGUUCUGUAAGCCUGUGAAGGUGAGUUGAGAAGCUUGCUGGAG
rnacentral:rRNA from 1 species